CCCUAAACCUGUCUUAACUUCCCAAAAUGCCCUUUAUGUUUUAAAUCAGUAAGGGUUUCACAACCCUUCAGCAGCUACAUCUGCACCACACCUUUCUUCCCUCCAUUUUCAGAAAAGCAACAAGUUUUGUCAACUAUGCACAGAGGUUGAGUACUCCAUUUUCAUGCUACUAUCUUGUCAAUCACGUGAAGAGAGAGUUUACCUAAAACGUUCAAAAUUCAAACGGCUCUUUUGACUCGACUUUAAAGAAAUCCCGCCCAAAUCAAGAACCCUAAUUCCAUCCUAUAAGUAUUAGGAGAAAGUGUCUAUUUUGGACAAGUUUUGGCAGCCGCUGAUACUCUCAUAAGCAUUAAUAUUUGCUCUAAAAGAUUUCAUCUUUUCACUCUCUUUCGAUCUCCGUCGGGAUUCUAGUUUUGAGUGUGUUUAAACUCAUCUCUGUUCGAGUGUAGACUUGUGAUCGAAGCACCCUGUUCGCUGCCCCGCAACAGGAGCUAAAUGGAGUCUUCAUGAAAGACUCUCACUGCCGUAUAGUCUCAUUCCAUCGCUAGACUAUGAAAAUGUGCACCCAUUUCAUCACGUUGCGUCACUUGCUUCCUCAAAACUCAUAUGAGUGAGACAAUGAGGAAAUGCAAAAAAUACUCUAUUAUAUUUUAGUGGUUUUGUGUUA